rnacentral:rRNA from 1 species
UACGUAGGUGGCAAGCGUUGUCCGGAUUUACUGGGCGUAAAGAGCACGCAGGCGGUCGUUCAAGUCGCGUGUGAAAGCCCCCGGCUCAACUGGGGAGGGUCACGCGAUACUGAUCGACUCGAAGGCAGGAGAGGGUAGUGGAAUUCCCGGUGUAGUGGUGAAAUGCGUAGAUAUCGGGAGGAACACCGGUGGCGAAGGCGGGUCUCUGGGCCGAUAC